UACGAAGGGGGCUAGCGUUGUUCGGAAUUACUGGGCGUAAAGCGCACGUAGGCGGAUAUUUAAGUCAGGGGUGAAAUCCCGGGGCUCAACCCCGGAACUGCCUUUGAUACUGGAUAUCUUGAGUUCGGAAGAGGUAAGUGGAAUUGCGAGUGUAGAGGUGAAAUUCGUAGAUAUUCGCAGGAACACCAGUGGCGAAGGCGGCUUACUGGUCCAUAACUGACGCUGAGGUGCGAAAGCGUGGGGAGCAAACAGG
rnacentral:rRNA from 1 species